AUUUUUUUUAAAAUUUCAUUUAUGGCCACCAAAUUCACUUUGCCUAGGGCUUUCAAUUAUCUAAGGCCAGCACUGAACAAAGAAAAAACAUUCAACAAUAGGUGCAUAAAAAUUGAAUAGAAGAUAGUAGAAUACAUGGGAUUCAAGAACAGAGUUGUAAACAAUAGCGUAGACGAUUGUAGUGUAUAAAACAAUAAACAUUGAUAUAAAAAAAAUCUAAAGUUGUUCAUUAGAAACAUUCUCUAUUAUUUAUAAAAAUAAGAACAAGAUUCUGC